GUCUAUGGCCAUACCACCCUGAACACACCCAAAACCAUCCGAUCUCAGAAGCUAAGCAGGGUGAGAAACACCUUGAAUCUUUACAGCUAUCCUUUCACUUUUUUUUUUGAAAGGGUCUCAUGUAGCCCAGACU
rnacentral:rRNA from 1 species